UACAGAGGGUGCGAGCGUUAAUCGGAAUUACUGGGCGUAAAGCGCGCGUAGGCGGCUUUGCAAGCCGGAUGUGAAAUCCCCGGGCUUAACCUGGGAACUGCAUUCGGGACUGCAUUGCUAGAGUAUGGGAGAGGGAAGUGGAAUUUCAGGUGUAGCGGUGAAAUGCGUAGAUAUCGGGAGGAACACCGGUGGCGAAGGCGGUUCUCUGGGCCUGUACUGACGCUGAGGAGCGAAAGCGUGGGGAGCGAACAGG
rnacentral:rRNA from 1 species